ACUCCUACGGGAGGCAGCAGUGGGGAAUAUUGCACAAUGGGGGAAACCCUGAUGCAGCCAUGCCGCGUGUGUGAAGAAGGCCUUCGGGUUGUAAAGCACUUUCAGUAGGGAGGAAGGUAGUGUAGUUAACACCUGCAUUAUUUGACGUUACCUACAGAAGAAGCACCGGCUAACUCCGUGCCAGCAGCCGCGGUAAUACGGAGGGUGCGAGCGUUAAUCGGAAUUACUGGGCGUAAAGCGCAUGCAGGCGGCCUGUUAAGUCAGAUGUGAAAGCCCGGGGCUUAACCUCGGAAUUGCAUUUGAAACUGGCAGGCUAGAGUCUUGUAGAGGGGGGUAGAAUUUCAGGUGUAGCGGUGAAAUGCGUAGAGAUCUGAAGGAAUACCAGUGGCGAAGGCGGCCCCCUGGACAAAGACUGACGCUCAGAUGCGAAAGCUGGGGGAGCAAACAGGAUUAGAUACCCUGGUAGCAGAAGC
rnacentral:rRNA from 1 species